GGCUCUGUGGGAAGUAGGGGAGCCAGCGGCGGCUUGAAGCCGGAGCUGGCGAGCCAAGCGGGGACCUGGGCGCGGCGCCGCUGAGGCGCAGCAUGUGAAAAAGGGACGGCAUCCAGAGCGGGGCGAGCGUCUCAGCCGGCCGGGAUGGCUACGGCGGCCGAGCUCUUCGAGGAGCCUUUUGUGGCAGAUGAGUAUAUUGAACGUCUUGUAUGGAGAACCCCAGGAGGAGGCUCUAGAGGGGGAGCUGAAGCUUUUGAUCCUAAAAGAUUAUUAGAAGAAUUCAUAAAUCAUAUUCAAGAACUCCAAAUAAUGGAUGAAAAGAUUCAAAGGAAAGUAGAGAAACUAGAACAACAGUGUCAGAAGGAAGCCAAGGAAUUUGCUAAGAAGGUACAGGAGCUCCAGAAAAGCAAUCAGGUUGCCUUCCAACAUUUUCAAGAACUAGAUGAGCACAUCAGCUACGUAGCAACCAAGGUCUGUCACCUUGGAGACCAGUUGGAGGGGGUAAACACACCCAGACAGCGGGCAGUGGAGGCUCAGAAAUUGAUGAAAUACUUUAAUGAGUUUCUAGAUGGAGAAUUGAAAUCUGAUGUUUUUACAAAUUCUGAAAAGAUAAAGGAAGCAGCAGACAUCAUUCAGAAGUUGCACCUAAUUGCCCAGGAGUUACCUUUUGAUAGAUUUUCAGAAGUAAAAUCCAAAAUCGCAAGUAAGUACCAUGAUUUAGAAUGCCAGCUGAUUCAGGAGUUUACCAGUGCUCAAAGAAGAGGUGAGAUCUCCAGAAUGAGAGAAGUAGCAGCAGUUUUACUUCAUUUUAAGGGUUAUUCCCAUUGUGUUGAUGUUUAUAUAAAGCAGUGCCAGGAGGGUGCCUACUUGAGAAAUGAUAUAUUUGAAGAUGCAGCAAUACUCUGUCAACGAGUAAACAAACAAGUUGGCGAUAUCUUUAGUAAUCCAGAAACAGUACUGGCUAAACUCAUUCAAAAUGUAUUUGAAAUCAAGCUACAGAGUUUUGUGAAAGACCAGUUAGAAGAAUGUAAAAAGUUCGAUGCGGAGCAGUAUCUCAAAAAUCUAUAUGAUCUGUAUACAAGAACCACCAAUCUUUCCAGCAAGUUGAUGGAGUUUAACUUAGGUACUGAUAAACAGACUUUCUUGUCUAAGCUUAUCAAAUCCAUUUUCAUUUCCUAUUUGGAGAACUACAUUGAGGUGGAGACUGGUUAUUUGAAAAGCAGAAGUGCUAUGAUCCUGCAGCGCUAUUAUGAUUCAAAAAACCAUCAAAAGAGAUCCAUUGGCACGGGAGGUAUUCAAGAUUUGAAAGAAAGAAUUCGACAGCGUACCAACUUACCACUGGGGCCAAGUAUUGAUACUCAUGGGGAAACUUUCCUGUCCCAAGAAGUUGUGGUUAAUCUUUUACAAGAAACCAAACAAGCCUUUGAAAGAUGUCAUAGGCUUUCUGAUCCUUCUGAUUUACCAAGGAAUGCCUUUAGAGUUUUUACCAUUCUUGUGGAAUUUUUAUGUAUUGAGCAUAUUGAUUAUGCUUUGGAAACAGGACUUGCUGGAAUUCCUUCUUCAGAUUCUAAGAAUGCAAAUCUCUAUUUUUUGGAUGUUGUACAACAGGCCAAUACUAUUUUUCAUCUUUUUGACAAGCAAUUUAAUGAUCACCUCAUGCCACUAAUAAGCUCUUCUCCUAAGUUAUCAGAAUGCCUUCAGAAGAAAAAAGAAAUAAUUGAACAAAUGGAGAUGAAAUUGGAUACUGGCAUUGAUAGGACAUUGAAUUGUAUGAUUGGACAGAUGAAGCAUAUCUUGGCUGCAGAACAAAAGAAAACAGAUUUUAAGCCAGAGGAUGAAAACAAUGUUUUGAUUCAGUAUACUAAUGCCUGUGUAAAAGUCUGUGCUUAUGUAAGAAAACAAGUGGAAAAGAUUAAAAAUUCCAUGGAUGGCAAGAAUGUGGAUACAGUUUUGAUGGAACUUGGAGUACGUUUUCAUCGACUUAUUUAUGAGCAUCUUCAACAAUAUUCUUACAGUUGUAUGGGUGGCAUGUUAGCAAUUUGUGAUGUAGCUGAGUACAGGAAAUGUGCCAAAGACUUCAAGAUUCCACUGGUAUUACAGCUUUUUGAUACUCUGCAUGCACUUUGCAACCUUCUGGUAGUUGCCCCAGAUAAUUUAAAGCAAGUCUGCUCAGGAGAACAACUUGCUAAUCUGGACAAGAACAUCCUUCACUCCUUCGUACAACUUCGUGCUGACUAUAGAUCUGCCCGCCUUGCUCGACAUUUCAGCUGAGAUUGAAUUUGCAAGGGAAACAUGUUGUACUUUGGCAGGCCUCAGCUGAUAGAAAGCACAGGAGAUCCUUUGUGACGCAGCCAACAUUUUAUGGAAUAAUGCCUCUCUGGAAGAAAACAGCAGCCAUACUCACUCUUGAGAUUUUAUUUGAGAUUUGGACACCACUAGCCAUGUUUCAUUUUUCCCCUUAAGUUCAAUUUUUGUCACAUUCUUGAACUUAAAACUUUCAAAUUCUGUGAAACUACAUGUCACUGUUUUCAUCCUGGAAAAUGUUGGUGUCAGAAGUAAAACCUGCAAAAGCCAGAACCUGUGUAAGGCAGAAGGAGACCUGUCAGAGAAGAAAAACUCAAAUAUUUUUCACUAAGCCGAGCAAUAAAAAAGUGGUAAGACUACCCUGUCAAAGGUGGAAAACUUGCAAUACCCCGGAAAAUAAGGCAGUCCUAUCGAGUGCUGGCUCUAAGGUUUUCCUGUGUUAUUCUCCAAUAGAAUGUGUUUUUCAAUUUUUGCCACAAGGGGGAGAAGUUAUUUUUAUAGUAUUAUCUACAUUUUUGUUUGAUAGGUCGCUAUGAGUCGGAAUCGACUCGACGGCAGUGGGUUUGGGGUUUAUUAAAAAUAGAAUUCAUAUAGCUUCUUUCUGCUGAAGAAAACCCUACCUAUGAACAUGUCAGUAUCCUGAUUAAUAGAGUGCAUGUGUGUGUAUUCAAAUCAGAUUCUAAAAGAUGUGUGAGAAAAAUUUGUGGGAGAAUUAAUGACCAAACUAAAAGUUCUGAAGAAUGCAUAUAUGCACAGUGGCUAUAGGAGCUGCACUAAGUUCAUCAUAAUUAAAAUUAUGCUUUUUAACAUGAUUUCUCUCAUCUAAUUCCUCUAUCAACUCUUUGAGUUAAAACAUAUGAACUUAAUUGGUUUUCUGCAUUCUGCUUUUUUAAAGAAAAAAUUUUAAACCAUCUCGAACUUAAAGGUUGUAAAUAUUGUACAAAUAAAUGUUUUCCCCUUUGAGAGUAAGUUGUUGCUGUCAUGAUGACUUAUCACCCUCCAAUACUUUUGUAUUUCCUACAAAGAAGGACAUUCUCCUAUGUAACAGUAAUACAACCAUCAAAAUCAGGAUCUUAACAUUGAUAUAUUACCACCGUGUAAUCCUCAGACCCCAUUCGAGUCUCACCAAUUAUCCCAAUAAUGUUUAUAAGAAUCCAGUUCAGAAUUUUGUGUUGCCUUAAGUUAUAGUGCCUGUUGCUUUUACUUUGGAAUAGUUUCUCAGUCCUUCCUUCACUUUCAUGGCACUUUUGUAGAUUAUAAGCCAGUUAUUUUGUAAAAUGUCCCUAAAUUUGGAUUUAUCUGUUUCCUCAUGAUUAGAUUCAGGUUGUGCUUCUUUGUCAGGAAUAUUACAGACACUGUUCUAUAUUCUCAUGGCAUCCUAUCAGGGGGAGCACCAUUUCACUUUGUCCCACUUCUGAUGAUACUCAUAUUGAUCACUUGCUUAAGGUACUACCUGUCAAGUCUCUCCACAGGAAAGUUACCAUUUUCCCCUUUGUAAUUAUGUAUUUUGUAGGGAGACAAUUUGAAGCUAUGUGUAUAUAUUCUGUGUCUAAUCAGAUCUUCAAUUUUUUAUAAAUAUUGGCAAGAAUUUAUGGCUUACUAUUCAAUGGACUAUAAUUUGUUAUUUAUUUUGAACCUGGAAUUGUCCCAGAGUUAGCCAGUAGGAGCCCUUUCAAGUGGCUCCUGUGACCUUUUGACUUGUCUCCAUUAUUCUGUAUUGUACUUUCUUACUUUCUGGCACUAUAGGAUUUUCCAUGUUUAUCUUGUACUUGGCUUGCCCAACUCUAGAAUCAGCCAUUCCUCCAACUUUGAGUGGAAAUUGAUAGUUAGAGACCAAGAUUUGGUCAUGAGAAGUGUUUAUUAUGAUUGGAUGUCACUGCUCCCACUCUCAGUGAGCAGUGCUGGGGGAUUUAUGUAUAUGUGUGUGUGUGUGUGUGUAUACACACAUAAAAUACACACAUUUUAAGUAUACACACGUGUGUGUGUGUAAUAAGGAGCCCUGGUGGUGCAGUGGUUAAAGUGCUAGGCUGCUAACAAAACAAUGGCAAUUCAAACCCACAGCUGCUCCGCAGAAGAAAGAUGUGGCAGUCUGCUUCUGU